UACGAAGGGGGCUAGCGUUGCUCGGAAUGACUGGGCGUAAAGGGCGCGUAGGCGGAUGGCACAGUCAGAUGUGAAAUUCCCGGGCUUAACCUGGGGGCUGCAUUUGAUACGUGUUGUCUUGAGUUCGGAAGAGGGUCGUGGAAUUCCCAGUGUAGAGGUGAAAUUCGUAGAUAUUGGGAAGAACACCGGUGGCGAAGGCGGCUCACUGGCUCAUUACUGACGCUCAGGCGCGAUAGCGUGGGGAUCAAACAGG
rnacentral:rRNA from 1 species